GACGACUCAACGCUGAUACAGACAUACCCAAGACGACUCAACGAUGAUACAGACAUACCCAAGACGACUCAACGAUGAUACAGACAUACCCAAGACGACUCAACGAUGAUACAGACAUACCCAAGACGACUCAACGCUGAUACAGACAUACCCAAGAUGACUCAAAGCUGAUACAGACAUACCCAAGACGACUCAAAGCUGAUACAAACAUACCCAAGACGACUCAAAGCUGAUACAGACAUACCCAAGAUGACUCAAAGCUGAUACAGACAUACCCAAGACGACUCAAAGCUGAUACAGACAUACCCAAGAUGACUCAAAGCUGAUACAGACAUACCCAAGACGACUCAACGCUGAUACAGACAUACCCAAGACGACUCAAAGCUGAUACAGACAUACCCAAGAUGACUCAAAGCUGAUACAGACAUACCCAAGAUGACUCAAAGCUGAUACAGACAUACCCAAGAUGACUCAAAGCUGAUACAGACAUACCCAAGAUGACUCAAAGCUGAUACAGACAUACCCAAGACGACUCAAAGCUGAUACAGACAUACCCAAGACGACUCAACGCUUUAAUCACCACCAAAGGUGCUUCUACAAAGUAUUUCCUCAAGGGGUGUGAAUUCUUAUGUCAAGUAGACAGUUCUGUAUUUCAUUUUCAAUACACUUUGCAAACAUUUAUAAAAACAUGUUUUGACUUUGUCGUUAUGAGUUAUUGUGUGUAGAUUGGUGAGAAAAAAACUGGGGGUAUGAGUACUUUCUGAAGGCACUGUAUAUUUGUUUGUCUCAUAUGGUACUGUAUUCCCAACACAGUUUCACCAGAGAUCAAUGGGUAGGGCACUACUUUUCACCAGAGAUCAAUGGGUAGGGCACUACUUUUCACCAGAGAUCAAUGGGUAGGGCACUACUUUUCACCAGAGAUCAAUGGGUAGGGCACUACUUUUCACCAGAGAUCAAUGGGUAGGGCACUACUUUUCACCAGAGAUCAAUGGGUAGGACACUACUUUUCACCAGAGAUCAAUGGGUAGGGCACUACUUUUCACCAGAGAUCAAUGGGUAGGGCACUACUUUUCACCAGAGAUCAAUGGGUAGGGC
ensembl:lncRNA